GCCUGAGUUCCCCAGCAUUCCCAGAUGAGCCUACAAUAUUUACUUACUAUGAUCAAGCCUCAUUGUGGGUGGUGUUGCUUUCUUAGAAACUGAGAUUAGAAAAAAUUCCAGGAAAAAUGAGGGCAUAGAAUCUGGC
ensembl:scaRNA predicted gene, 27653